rnacentral:rRNA from 1 species
ACGGCCACGGUACCCUAACCGUGCAAAGGUAGCAUAAUCACUUGUUCUUUAAAUGAGGACUAGUAUCAACGGCAUCACGAGGAUCCUACUGUCUCCCCCCUCUAAUCAGUGAAACUGAUCUCCCCGUGAAGAAGCGGGGAUAUACAUAUAAGACGAGAAGACCCCAUGGAGCUUUAAACCUGACAGCACCCGCUCAUUCUAUACCCCAUUAUUUGCCCGACCCC